CAAAAUACAAUAAAAUUUGUAAAAUUGCAAAUUGAAUACACAUGCAAUAAUUUAAUAUGAAUAAAUAUAAAAAUCUAAACGAAUAAUUAAUUACACAGUGCAAAACCUUAGUUAGCCACAAUGUCUAGUGACACAGAAGAUAAGGUAGAAUUAUUAGAAAAUGCCUCUGAAAUUAUGGAAGACUUAGCGGACAAAUUAAAAAAGUUAUACAAAUACAGAGAUUUGUUUUUUGAAAAUCAUCCAGUAGAAUUGGCAUUGCAAAAGCAUGCGUGUGUAGAUGUGAAAAAAGAGGCGUUGGUUAAGAAAUUUGAAAGCUAUGAUGUGGAUGUUCAAAUACCAUUUCCCCUGCGUGCCCAAUUCCUCUACAUGAAGGGAAGAUGCUACAAUAUAAGUAACAAAUACGACGCGCGCGCUAUGCAGUGUCUCAGCAAAGCUGUGAAACUUAAUCCACAUUUGGUUGAUGCAUGGAACGAACUCGGGGAAUGCUAUCUCAAGAAUAUGAACAUGAAGGAAGCUAAGGCCAGCUUUGAAGGUGCUCUUAAACAUGAACGCAAUCGUUUAUCACUUCGCUGCCUGGCCAUCAUCCUUCGCCAGGAAUGCGGAGACCUGAAGCAGAGCGAAAUAUCGUCCGCCAUGACGAAAAGCGUGGAGUUAGCCAAGGAGGCGGUAGCUCAGGACAUCAAAGACGGCAUCUCGUGGUCUGUUCUGGGCAACACCUAUUUGUGCCAGUACUUCUUGAUAGCUCAAGACCCAGCUACGCUGAAGUUAUGCAUGAGCGCGUAUAAACAGGCUUGGUCAGACCCUGUGGCGAAGGGCCAACCGGAUUUGCAUUUUAAUAAAGGAGUGGCCCUAAAGUAUUCGGAAUGUUACGGCGAGGCGCUGCAAAUGUUCGACCAGUCGUGCCGCCUGGACCCCGGCUGGCAGCCUCCGGCAGACGAGCGCGCUGAGCUCGUGCGCUACCUCACCGAGGCCACGAAACUUGUGCAUACGCGCGGGAAGCUCAAGGCCAAGCGGAUCUCUAAUAUGGUGCAGACUAUAGACAAAAAGAUGCUGGGAGACUACGCGACAGACAGCGAUGGCGCGCGCAAGGAUGUGUUACUUGAGCUUGUGGAUAUAGACAAGCUUCAGGAAGGCAGCAAUGAGGGCAAAGUCAUCCUCGGCAGGGUCGUGGGUUCGAUACACAACAAGAACUCUGUACCAUUUACAUUCGCGAUAAUAGACAAAAGUCUGAAAUGUGUGUGCGUGUCUGUGUACAACUGGGCGAACGGGCGCGGCGUCAUCAUCGGUGACGUGGUGGCGGUGCCUGAACCGCUGCUCAGUUCACACGCUUUGGACUCACGCUUGGCUAAAUACGAAUUCCAGUCAAUACGCGUCAACAACCCGUUAGUGUUACUGGUCAACGGCAAACGCGUCAACCGGAAUCAAUACGCCAGCACGCGUGUGACGAGCACUUACGAGGUCAACUGACGGCAGGCCAUGAUGCGCCUCAAGCGUCUAUAUGAAAAUCAACACUAGACCGACGGUCUGUUGCAUGGGUCUACACUAGACCGAAGAGACUAUGUGUUGGACAAUUGGACUGUUUUGUGUUUAAAGUGCUUGUUCAGUGGUUUCUGGUUACUAACAUGACUAUGUCUAUAUUGUAAGAAUUUUUGAGAUGUGUCUUUAUUCAACCUAAGGAACGAGUGACAAGCACACAAAGUUAACUGACGGCAGGUCAUGAUGCGUCUCAAGCGUCAAUACUAGACCACCGGUCUGUUGCAUGGGUCUAUACUAGACCGAAGAGACACUGUGUAUUGGACAAUUGGACUGUUAAGUGUUUAAAAUGCUUGUUCAGUGGUUACUAACAUGACUAUGUCUAUAUUGUAACAAUUUUUGAGAUGUGUCUUUAUUCAACCUAAGGAAUGAGUGACAAGCACACGAAGUUAACUGACGGCAGGUCAUGAUGUGUCUCAAGCAUCUAAUACUAGACCACCGGUCCAUUGCAUGGGUCUAUACUAGACCGAAGAGACACAUGAAUUGGACUGUUAAGUGUUUAAAAUGCUUGUUCAGUGGUUACUAACAUGACGAUGUCUAUAUUGAAACAAAUUUAAAAUCAGUGGUUUUUGAGAUGUGUCUUUAUUCAACCUAAGGAACGAGUGACAAGCACACAAAGUUAACUGACGGCAGGUCAUGAUGCGUCUCAAGCGUCAAUACUAGACCACCGGUCCGUUGCAUGGGUCUAUACUAGACAGAAGAGACACUAUGUAUUGGACAAUUGGACUGUUAUGUGCUUAAAAUGCUUGUUCAGUGGUUUCUAACAUGGCUAUAUCUAUAUUAAAACCAAUUUAAAAUCAGUGGUUUUUGAGAUGUGUCUUUAUUCAACCUAAGGUACAAGUGACAAGCACUUACUAAGUUAACUGACGGCAGGUCGUGAUACAUCUCAUGCAUUGGGUCUAUACUAGAUCGAAGAGACUAUGUGUUGGAUAAUUGGACUGUUUUGUGUUUAAAGUGCUUGUUCAGUGGUUACUAACAUGACUACGUCUACAUUGAAACAAAUUUAAAAUCAGUGGUUUUUGAGAUGUGUCUUUAUUCAACCUAAGGAACGAGUGACAAGCACUUACGAGGUUAACUGAUGGCAGGUCAUGAUACAUCUCAUGCAUCAAUACUAGACUGUUGGUCUGUUGCAUGGGUCUAUAUUAGACCGAAGAGGCACUAUGUAUUGGACAAUUGGACUAUUAAGUGUUUAAAAUGUUUUUUCAGUGGUUUCUCACAUUGCAAUGUCUAUAUUGACAAGCUUAAAAUCAAUUUAACAUGUGUCUUUAUUCAACCUAACGAAUAUAUGUCUGUACUCGGCCAAAUCUCAAGAUCCAACUCUCAGGAGAUGCCCUUAGGAAGUAGUUCCGUCUAUCUUUUCUGCUUCUACAAAGCGACUACAUAUUAGACAAUUGGGCGGUUGUGUUUAAUAUGCUUAAUCAGUUCUUAACCUUACGUGUGAUCAAUGUGUGCGAUGCUUGACCACUGUUUUUCAGCUUUUAUAUCUAGAUUCUAGACUAGAUUUAAAGAAUGGUCUAUGUGUCUAUCCUAGACAAUAUUGGUAUAUCAAUAGAUUGAUAAAUCGAAAAUAGUUUUUAUGGUAUGUGUCCAUACACAGUCUGUAUUAAUAAACUGUAAAAUAAACAAUAAACAUUUUUUUAGACUAGACAAUGUUUGUGUGCUUUUUAUUGGACAUUUAAUGUAAUCAAUACUACGAGUACAAUAUUCACUGUGUAAUAUAAAAGGAAAGGAAAUAAAAAAUUGUUUUAUGAACAUCAAAUUGAGUUCAUAAUAGAUAAGUUUUUGAUAGUCUGUUACUAUAGUAAGGGAGCCAAAAAAGGGAUAUUAGGAUUUACUUUAAUUCAAGCAACAUUGUAACUCCUCUCCACGCCUUAGGUUUAUAACUGUUAUUAUUAAUAUUUUGAUUUAUAUAUUAUUAAUUAAUUAUUUUCGUUUUAUUCUUUUUUUCUGUAAGUUGUUAUGUUUAUGGGCAUUAACAAAGGUACGUUACAUUGAAUUAAUAUACAGCCUGUGGUUUACGUCGCAAGUAUCAUAGUUUUAAAUGUAUCUGUUUGUAAGUAGGAUUUUUAUGAUGAAAUAAAAUAGGUCACGCACAAAUCGUCAGAUUUUUCAAAAGCACCUUACAUUAAUCUGACGCACUUGUUGAGUAUUGCUGAUGAUAGAUUACUAUAUUUAUUAUGACGGCUUACCUUAAAUAUUUCAGGAUCAUAAAUAAACGCAAUUGAUUGAAUCACGCAAGGUAUCUUUUGGUAUUCACCCUUAUGUUUGUCUGCCGAGCACGAGUGAAUCCCAAAAUCCCCUCUUGUGCUCUUCGACUAUAAAUAAUAAUGUUACGAAAAGUUGGAUGCACCAUGCAUGUAAAAUAUUUCUAUGUAUUGAAAUUCUACUGUAAUUACAUUAGGUAAUUAAAAUACAAAGCUUCUUACAACUAAAUUUAAUGCAAAUUGUAAAUUAAAACUUAUAUAUUUUUAUGUAGUGAUAGUGUAGUAUGAGAUAAUAUAGUUUAUUUUUUGUAUUAUUAUAAUAGAUUAUAGAUCUAUCUUUAAUAACAGAAAUAAAUGUUUGUACUAUGUAUGUUUGUCCUCUAUGUGUUUCUAAGACAUUUAUUAAAUUAUGAUGUAUGGAUAAAUUAUAUGUUUUAAUAUCAAUCAUCGCUACGGUAGCAUAGAGAUAAUUUAUACUGUGGUAAAUAGUAAAUGUAAAUAAAAGACUGAAUGAAUCUGUGUUUCGGUACUUGUGUGGUUGUGUCCCAGUAUUAUUUAAUUACUGGCCUACAAAAAUUGUCACAAGUAUGAUUUUUUUUCUCUGUUUUCUAACUUAUAGGUAUAGACUGUAGAUUUUCUAUUUUCGGAAAGAGAAAGGUGUAAAACUGCAUUGGAUAGGCGCGUUUAUGUGUAAAACAGAAAAAGCAAAACAAGAA
rnacentral:misc_RNA from 1 species